rnacentral:rRNA from 1 species
ACGAACGUUGGCGGCGUGCUUAAUACAUGCAAGUCAACUGAAGCAGUGGUAGCAAUAUCGCUGUGGAGGUGGCGCACGGGUGAGUAACACGUAGGUAAUCUGCCUUCAGGUCUGGCAUAACUCCGGGAAACCGGGGCUAAUAGCAGAUGAUGCAGCGGCUCGACAUCGAGACAGUUGUUAAAGCUAUGGCGCCUGAAGAUGAGCCUGCGUCUGAUUAGCUAGUUGGCGGGGUAACGGCCCACCAAGGCAACGAUCAGUAGCUGGUCUGAGAGGAUGAUCAGCCACACUGGAACUGAGACACGGUCCAGACUCCUACGGGAGGCAGCAGUAAGGAGUAUUGCUCAAUGGGAGAAAUCCUGAAGCAGCAACGCCGCGUGAGGGACGAAGGGCUUUUGCUUGUAAACCUCUGUAGUGAGAGAAAAAAAUCCCAAUCUUUGGGACAUGAUGGUAUCUCAAAAGUAAGCCCCGGCUAACUACGUG